rnacentral:lncRNA from 1 species
AAAACAAUAAAUACCUUUUUGGUUUCCAAUAUAGGACUAAACAUCACACAUGAAAAUUUUAGUUGGGCUCCCCAAGCGGCCCAUUAACAAUUAUUGGGCUCUCAAGAGGCCUUAACAAGUUUUAAAUCAUAACAAACCCAAUAAAAUCCAAUAAAAAUGACCAAAAGACCCUUUACCAAUUCAAUUCUGCCGCCUGAGUACCGAUACUCAACUUAGGUACCGAUACCUCGCAGUACUCGGACAGCAGCCGUGUACCGGUACUGACCCAAUGCAGUACCUGUACCAAGUCCCAAUACCGGUACUC